CCUACGGGUGGCAGCAGUGAGGAAUAUUGCUCAAUGGCCGGAAGGCUGAUCCAGCCAUGCCGCGUGAAGGUCAGUGCCCUAUGGGCGUUAAACUACUUUUGUGCGGGAGCAAUAUUGGUCACGUGUGGCCAGACGAGAGUACCGUACCAAUCAGCAUCGGCUAACUCUGUGCCAGCAGCCGCGGUAAUACGGGGGGUGCAAGCGUUAUCCGGAUUUAUUGGGUCUAAAGGGUGCGUAGGCUGUGAGGUAAGUCUGCGGUGAAAUGCCCCGGCUCAACGGGGUGAAGUGCGAUUGAUACUGCCUUGCUGGAAUGCGGAUGCGGUGGGAGGAAUGUGAGGUGUAGCGGUGAAAUGCAUAGAGA
rnacentral:rRNA from 1 species